CCUACGGGUGGCUGCAGUGGGGAAUAUUGGACAAUGGGCGAAAGCCUGAUCCAGCCAUGCCGCGUGUGUGAAGAAGGCCUUCGGGUUGUAAAGCACUUUCAGUGGGGAAGAAAGCCUUGGGGCUAAUACCCUCGAGGAAGGACAUCACCCACAGAAGAAGCACCGGCUAACUCCGUGCCAGCAGCCGCGGUAAUACGGAGGGUGCGAGCGUUAAUCGGAAUUACUGGGCGUAAAGCGCGCGUAGGCGGUCUGAUAAGCCGGUUGUGAAAGCCCCGGGCUCAACCUGGGAACGGCAUCCGGAACUGUCAGGCUAGAGUGCAGGAGAGGAAGGUAGAAUUCCCGGUGUAGCGGUGAAAUGCGUAGAGAUCGGGAGGAAUACCAGUGGCGAAGGUGGCCUUCUGGACUGACACUGACGCUGAGGUGCGAAAGCGUGGGUAGCAAACAGGAUUAGAUACCCUUGUAGUC
rnacentral:rRNA from 1 species